rnacentral:rRNA from 1 species
AAGUCGUAACAAGGUUUCCGUAGGUGAACCUGCGGAAGGAUCAUUAACAAAUCACGGCCUUUUUGGGCCAUUGACGCCUGGCUUUUUACGGCCAGGACAUUUCUGCUUGUAUGUUUGACUGAACUGAAAUAAUAUAUAUCUAUACAACUUUUAACAAUGGAUCUCUUGGCUCUUGCAACGAUGAAGAACGCAGUGAAAUGCGAAACUUAAUGCGAUUUGCAUGAAUCUGUGAGUCAUCAAGUAUUUGAACGCACCUUGCACUCUGUUAUGCAGAGUAUGCCUGUUUGAGAAUCAGUUCUUUCUCAACCUCGGUCGAGGUUGGAUUUGCGGGUCACUCCGGUGAUCCGUAGAAUGCAGUAAGGUCUAGCCAAAGGACAUUGUGUGCCAGAGCGUCACAAUUGAGCCUGCGGUAAUGCCUUUCUAACAAAACUCUUUCUCUUGAUCUCAAAUCAGGCAAGGCUACCCGCUGAACUUAAGCAUAUCAGUAAGCGGAGGAAAAGAAACUAACAAGGAUUCCCCUAGUAACGGCGAGUGAAGCGGGAAUAGCUCAAAUUUAAAAUCUGGCGUAAGCCCGAGUUGUAAUUUAAAGAGGCGUGUUCUGAGCAGCGCGGCUGUCCAAGUCCCUUGGAAUAGGGCAUCACAGAGGGUGAGAAUCCCGUCUGGGCAGUUGCGUGCGCUCUUUACGACACGCUUUCUACGAGUCGGGUUGUUUGGGAAUGCAGCUCUAAGUGGGUGGUAAAUUUCAUCUAAGGCUAAAUAAUGGCAAGAGACCGAUAGCGAACAAGUACCGUGAGGGAAAGAUGAAAAGCACCUUGAAAAGGGAGUUAAACAGUGCGUGAAAUUGUUAAAAGGGAAACGAAUGAGAUCAGUGUUGCUGUAUCGGUUGGGUUACGCAUGCGGGUGAACAGGAGCUUACGCCCUCUAGCUUUGUGUUGCGUUACCUAGGUGCGGCGAGUCGGCGUCGGUUUUGCGGCAGAGAUCUACGCUCGGGGAAGGUGACGGACUUGUCCGUUUUAUAGACCCGGGCCAAACCUGCUGCGGGACCGAGGUGAGCAGCUGCGUUCUCCGGCUCUUUGAUCCGCGCCCCAUCACUACAGGCAGCACGCUGACUGCGGUGGCAAGGCGUGGGAGCGAGGGUCGCGCGCAGUUUGUGGAUGCCGACGAAAUGGUCUUAUACGACC